GCUUCAUUUUCAUUCCUAUCUAUGGAGUUCGAAUAUAUAAUUUCAAUGUCUAUGUGUUGGAGUUGGAGAUGAGCAGCAGCCAAAUUAAAAGGGGUCCCCAUUUGGGCACUUGUAGAGGGAGACCUUGUAGCAGAGUAGUACUGCUGCCGGCCCACUUCUUCUUUGCCUAUGUCUUCAGUUAGUUAUGCUGUGUUUUGUCUAUUUCUUAUUGAUUAGUGCCCUCUACGAGUAUUUGUAGGGACUUUGUUCCUCCUUUUGCCCUCAUGGUAGAUCUCUUUCAGAUCUACAUCAAGAGGUUUUCUGCUUCAUUUUUUU
rnacentral:misc_RNA from 1 species